GUGCCUGAUUGAGCCUUGACUGAACGUUACAUCAGGUAAGUAGAAUUAGUUAGCUUUUUUGGGGGUGGGAAGUUGCAUGUUCCUGACGAAGCUAGAUUUCAGAACAUAGCAGUAUUCUCCAGUUUGGUGACUUCAAGAUGUCGUUUGACUCCAGCUCCCAGCAGCCAGCAUGGUCAAGGGAGAUGGGAGUUGGAGUCCUGCCUUUGCAUUAGAAGAAUGAAGUGUUGCAAUGGAGGUAACUUAGGUGCAGGAAAGGCAUUUGUUUAUUUCUGGGAGAGGGAAGCUGUGAUCCUCCUGAUGUGGCUGCACCCCAAUUCCCAUCAUUCCCAGUGGCCAAUGGCCAGGGUUGAUGAGAGAUGGGGCCCAGCAACAUCUUGAGGGACAGGUUCCCCAGCCCUGUCUUAGACACUUGGCCCAACCAAUCAGGGAUCCCAUGUAAAAUACACUUGUGGAGGUUUAAAGGAGGUGUUGUUGGGCUACAGCUCCCAUCAGCCACAACCAGCAUGGGCAAUGGUCAGGGAUGAUGGGGGUUUGUCUAGGUGGCAGCAAGUUGGGGUGGUCUAGGAUGUAUCUUCAGGAGAAAGCAGAGGUGACUGGAAAGUUUACUCAGAAUUAAGCCCCACCAAACUCAGUGGGAUAUUACUUAGCUAAUGUACCUAGGCUAGCAGCCUCAGACAUGCCUAAUGUCAUUGUUCAUAAUUAUAAUUAUUAUUUACUAAUGUUCUCCACCGAGGAGGCAGAUCAUGGGAAAACCAUUCACAUAGUGUAUCUUGACUUCACUGAAGGAUUUGUCAAUGAUAUGCUUGUUGACAAGUAGGGAAUGCAUGGGCUGGGUGAUGCUACUGUAAGGUGGAUGGAAAGUUGGUUGAGCAACCCAAUCCACAAUCAUUGUGGAAUGCCCUUGUCUCUGAUGAAGCUUCACCCAACAGUUGCUUCAGAUGCUUAUAAGGCCAUCUCUUUUUGCUCUGCACCAAAGGAUUGGACGCUGCCAUUACUGAAUUCUUGUUUUCAAUCUGUAUUUUCUUUUUUUAAUAAUACUGCCCCCAUCUGUUCUAGGCAUCUAAAAUUGUUAGGGGACCCCAGUUCCCUGCACAGAGCUACAGUCCCCAGAGUUCCCUGGGAUUGUUGGUUAAAUUGCUCUGGGAUUUGUAGCUCUGAAAGGGGAAUAGUGUUCUCCUUACAACUCUCAGCACCCUUCACAAGCUACAGUUCCCAGGAUUCUUUGGGAGAAGAUAUGACUCUCCAGCCCUGAUUUAAAGUUGACACCUAUCAAGACAUGCCCACUUAUUCCAUUAAUUGUUUAUUUUUCCCUUCUAUUUUGCUAAUCUUCUGAAGCAUCAGUGCAAUCAGUAAUGGCGAAUCGUGUUCUUUUUCUUCCUCCUCCAAGUUUCUCCAGCAAUCCAAGAUGUCACAGCAGCAGCAACAGUGCAAGCAGCCUUGCCAGGUUCCUCCUCAGUGUUGUCCUCCUCAGCAGGACUGUCUCCCUCCACAGCAAAAGUGUCCUCCUCAGAAGGACUGUCUCCCUCCACAGCAAAAGUGUCCUCCUCAGCAGGAUUGCCUCCC